CCUACGGGUGGCAGCAGUGAGGAAUAUUCGGCAAUGGACGAGAGUCUGACCGAGCCAAGCAGCGUGAAGGAUGACUGCCCUAUGGGUUGUAAACUUCUUUUAUAUGGGAAUAAAAUGUUCCACGUGUGGGAUUUUGUAUGUACCAUAUGAAUAAGGAUCGGCUAACUCAGUGCCAGCAGCCGCGGUAAUACGGAGGAUCCGAGCGUUAUCCGGAUUUCUUGGGUUUAAAGGGAGCGUAGGUGGAUUGUUAAGUCAGUUGUGAAAGUUUGCGGCUCAACCGUAAAAUUGCAGUUGAAACUGGGAGUCUUGAGUACAGUAGAGGUGGGUGGAAUUCGUGGUGUAGCGGUGAAAUGCUUAGAUAUCACGAAGAACUCCGAUGGCGAAGGCAGCUCACUGGACUGCAACUGACACUGAGGCUCGAAAGUGUGGGUAGCAAACAGGAUUAGAUACCCUUGUAGUC
rnacentral:rRNA from 1 species